rnacentral:lncRNA from 1 species
UUUUUUUUUUCCCUUUUUAGGGCUGCACCUGCAUCAUAUGGGAGUUCUUGGGCUAGGGGUUGAAUGAGAGCUGCAGCUGCAGCCCUACACUACAGCCAUGGCAACACUAGAUCUGAGCCACAUCUGUGACCUAUGCCAGAGCUGGCAGCAAUGCCAGAUCCCUAACCCACUGAGUGAGGCCAGGGAUCAAACCCACAUCCUCUCAGAGACAACUUUGAGUCCUUAACCCACGGAGCCACAAUGGGAACUCCUCUUUUGCCAUUUUCAUAAUAGCCAUUCUAACAGGUGUAAGAUGAUAUCUCAUCGUGGUUUUAAUUUGUGAUGCUUAGUGAUGUUGAGCAGUUUUUCAUGUACCUGUUGGCUAUUUGACUGUCUCCUUUCAAGAACAUUGCUUUUCUGCUAUCAUAAAUCUAUGUAUUAUGUGGAAAGCAUAGUGAAGACUGUCAGCUGAAGUACUACAAAAAAAACAACUUUCACAUUGCCAUAAAUGUUUAAAUAUGCAUAUUAACUCUUCUAUAUGAUAACUUGGAUGUUUUUAUUUUAUACUAUUUUUUGUAAUAAAAAUUUAAGUCAUAUAACAAAUGAAUGAUUAACACCUGUAUUUAAUUGGCCCAUUAUCCUCACUGAUUUUACCACUUAAUUGAGGUGAAGAGUAUGAAUAAGUCUGAGUCCUUUCCUUUGUUUUGAAUAGGAAUGGUCUUAGAAAAUUUUCAUGUGUUGCAUAGGGCAUCUGCAGAGUAGUUAAGAUGACAACAACUAUGACUUCAAAUUGAAAAAAGAUACGGUUUUUCCAUGGAAGUGUGGAAUUGUAUCAAAUUGUUUAAAAAAUAUAGAUCCAUACACCUAAUCAAUAAUGAUCACUCAUCAGUAAGUAUGCCCUCUAUGUUUCACAAGCACUCUAUUUUAGAAUCAGUGAUCCACUUAAUGUUUGUUAUGAACACGGCUGUCAAAAUUAUUUUCUCUCAAUAUUAGUAGUACCUCAAGAACAAUCAUAUUACAGAGAGAAAAAAAAAAAGAAAAGAAAUGGUAAUGGAAUGCUCAUCUGACCUCUCAGGCUAUGGUCCAACUACACAAUAAUGAUGUUUAAAAGGUGAGAUUGUGUAUGCAAACACUUUUGCCAAAGUUGCACUGCUUUUUUUUUUUAAUUUUUUUUCCACUGUACAGCAGGGGGACCAGGUUACACAUACAUGUAUGGGUAAUUUUUCCUCCCAUUGUCGUGUUGCAAUGUAAGUAUCUAGACAUAAUUCUCAAUGCUACACAGCAAGAUCUCAUUGUGUAUUGCUUUUUUUAAAAAAAUCAUUAUAGUUGAUUUACAAUGUUUUGUCAAUUUCUAUUGUACAGCAAAGAGACCUAGUCAUACAUACAUAUACAUUCCCCUUCUCAUAUCAUCUUCCAUCAUGUUCCAUCAGAGGUGUUUGGACAUAGUUCCCUGUGCUACACAGCAGGAUCUCAUUGCUUAUCAUUUUAUUUCUUCUAAUUGAAUUAACUAGGGAAUUCAGUAAGGCCAUCAGAGAAAUUCCUUUAAAUAAAUUAAUAUUCACUAAAUAGACAAACUCAAUUUGUUGUUGUUGUUUUUUAACUAAAAAUCUUUAUCUUGCCAACUGUGCUGGUGUUGAGUAGUAGCAAGGGUCUCCGUAUAUUUUAAACCAGAUGCUCACUAAAUACACAUGAGAACAAACCUUCAUCAGCAAUACAGACAAUGUCUCAGAAUGAAAGAAAACUAAAUAUAAAUGUAUGUAUUUUUGUUUGCCCCUGGGCAGAAUUUUGCUGUUCUUCUGUGUGAAUAUUUUAUUGUUACAUCUUAUAAAGAGAUUUCUUUCAGAGUGGAAAUUCUGAGACAUCCAUGCCUUUUAAAUAUUUAAAAUAUAUAUUUAAAUGUAGUUUAAAUAAUUUGGCCCUUUUCUAUAAAAUUACAACAUAAAAUGUCCAAAAUAAUGAAAAACAUUAAGUAAUUGCCAACAUGAAGUACUUUAGAUAUUUACAAAAACGUAAUUUCAGAGCAUAUUACCUUUAAAUUUUCGUAAUGAUAAAAACAUACUGCAAUGGUAAAAUUUAACAGAUGAAAAAUCUUAACUCCUAAAAAGGUAGAGUACAAGAAAAAAAUUUUACUAAGUAAAGAGCAAAUAGUAAUACCUAGUACACAGCCUCUGUCCUCAAGAAGCACACAGGCUCUAAGGAAGUAAUUACAAUAAGUAAAAUAAUAGAACAGAGCUUUCACAAACUACAAGUAGUAGAAUACCUGAGUCCCAUAGAUGCUCUGCAUUGUGUGAAAAAAUGGGUUUCCUAGAGAAAUAUACACGGGAAACACCGUAUAUUAUAUAGCUCAUUCUUAAAACAUUCACAGUGAGCACAAGAACUGAAAAGACACUGACUUUCCUAGAAAAAAACACCUGUGAAUUUUUUUUAAUUUACAAUUUCUCAAAUUUUUGGACUAGAGGAAAGUCCCUGCAAUAACAUUUGUUAUUGUAUUCUACAGUUUCCUCAGAACAUGGUUUGGAGAGUAUUUCAAUAGAAGUAUAAAUUAGGCAGAGUGACUGCAUACAAGGGGAAGCUUUCAAAACAUGGAAAUGACAGAGGUAGAUCUUGAAGAAGGAGUAGAAUUUUGCUAUACCCAAGAGAGAAGAAAAGUCUGGGCAAAAUACAAAAGCAUGUGUAAAUUCCCAGAGUCACGG